AGAUUGAACGCUGGCGGCAGGCCUAACACAUGCAAGUCGAACGCUAGCACAGAGAGCUUGCUCUCGGGUGACGAGUGGCGGACGGGUGAGUAAUGUCUGGGAAACUGCCUGAUGGAGGGGGAUAACUACUGGAAACGGUAGCUAAUACCGCAUAACGUCUUCGGACCAAAGUGGGGGACCUUCGGGCCUCAUGCCAUCAGAUGUGCCCAGAUGGGAUUAGCUAGUAGGUGGGGUAACGGCUCACCUAGGCGACGAUCCCUAGCUGGUCUGAGAGGAUGACCAGCCACACUGGAACUGAGACACGGUCCAGACUCCUACGGGAGGCAGCAGUGGGGAAUAUUGCACAAUGGGCGCAAGCCUGAUGCAGCCAUGCCGCGUGUAUGAAGAAGGCCUUCGGGUUGUAAAGUACUUUCAGCGGGGAGGAAGGGGAUAAGGUUAAUAACCUUGUUCAUUGACGUUACCCGCAAAAGAAGCACCGGCUAACUCCGUGCCAGCAGCCUCGGUAAUACGGAGGGUGCAAGCGUUAAUCGGAAUUACUGGGCGUAAAGCGCACGCAGGCGGUCUGUCAAGUCGGAUGUGAAAUCCCCGGGCUCAACCUGGGAACUGCAUUCGAAACUGGCAGGCUUGAGUCUUGUAGAGGGGGGUAGAAUUCCAGGUGUAGCGGUGAAAUGCGUAGAGAUCUGGAGGAAUACCGGUGGCGAAGGCGGCCCCCUGGACAAAGACUGACGCUCAGGUGCGAAAGCGUGGGGAGCAAACAGGAUUAGAUACCCUGGUAGUCCACGCCGUAAACGAUGUCGACUUGGAGGUUGUGCCCUUGAGGCGUGGCUUCCGGAGCUAACGCGUUAAGUAGACCGCCUGGGGAGUACGGCCGCAAGGUUAAA
rnacentral:rRNA from 1 species